rnacentral:tRNA from 1 species
CAGAAAAUAGUUUAUAUAAAAUAUUGGCUUUGGGUGCCAAAAAUCCUAAUUUAGGUUUUCUGA